rnacentral:tRNA from 1 species
CGUGAGAUAGAGCAAACGGAAGCUUGUUGGGCUCAUAACCCGAAGGUUAUUGGUUCGAAUCCAAUUCUCACGC